rnacentral:misc_RNA from 1 species
AAGGAGUCUAACAUAUAUGCGAGUCUUUGGGUGUUAAACCUAUAUGCGCCAUGAAAGCGAAUGUAGGGGGUAUCUUCAGGGUGCACCUCCGACCGAUCUGGAUCUUAAGUGAUGGAUUUGAGUAAGAGCAUAUAUGUUGGGACCCGAAAGAUAGUGAACUAUGCCUGAAUAGGGCGAAGCCAGAGGAAACUCUGGUGGAGGCUCGUAGCGAUACUGACGUGCAAAUCGAUCGUCAGAUUUGGGUAUAGGGGCGAAAGAGUAAUCGAAAUAUAUAGUAGCUGGUU